GACGAACGCUGGCGGCGUGCUUAACACAUGCAAGUCGAACGGAAAGGCCCUGCUUGCAGGGUGCUCGAGUGGCGAACGGGUGAGUAACACGUGGGUGAUCUGCCCCUUACUUUGGGAUAAGCCUGGGAAACUGGGUCUAAUACUGGAUAGGACCACGCUGUAGGUGGUGUGGUGGAAAGAUUAGUUUCGGUAAGGGAUGAGCUCGCGGCCUAUCAGCUUGUUGGUGGGGUAAUGGCCUACCAAGGCGUCGACGGGUAGCCGGCCUGAGAGGGUGGACGGCCACAUUGGGACUGAGAUACGGCCCAGACUCCUACGGGAGGCAGCAGUGGGGAAUAUUGCACAAUGGGCGCAAGCCUGAUGCAGCGACGCCGCGUGGGGGAUGACGGCCUUCGGGUUGUAAACUCCUUUCAGCCAUGACGAAGCCCUUGUGGUGACGGUAGUGGUAGAAGAAGCACCGGCUAACUACGUG
rnacentral:rRNA from 1 species